UACGUAGGGGGCAAGCGUUGUCCGGAUUUAUUGGGCGUAAAGAGCGUGUAGGCGGCCAGGGAGGUCCGUUGUGAAAACUCGAGGCUCAACCUCGAGACGCCGAUGGAAACCCCCUGGCUAGAGUCCGGAAGAGGAGAAUGGAAUUCCUGGUGUAGCGGUGAAAUGCGCAGAUAUCAGGAAGAACACCCGUGGCUAAGGCGGUUCUCUGGGACGGUACUGACGCUGAGACGCGAAAGCGUGGGGAGCGAACAGG
rnacentral:rRNA from 1 species